CCCUUGUCCCUUCUGUUCUUGGUGGAACCUGUGUCAUUCCUGGUGCUUUUUUGGCUGUGGGAAAACUGUUGUCUGCCAGGCACUUUCCAAGAGAGAGGAAAUGAAACGGCUGAGGUCUUCUGGGGUUCCGAGCCAGCCAAGCAAUAGCCAAGCCUUGUUAGCUCGUAUGCUAAACGGUAU